AACGCAUCUUGCGCUCCUUGGUAUUCCGAGGAGCAUGCCUGUUUGAGUGUCGUGAACCUCUCAAUCCCGUUUCAUUUUGUGAAGCGGGUUUGGAUUUGGACGCUGCCGUGGCUCACGCUUCGGCUCGUCUUGAAAUGCAUCAGCUGGUCCGCCGCCCGAGUUCAACAACGGUGUGAUAAGAAACGCUUCGUGACUGUGGCGCCGUGUUGCGUUGGCUCGAGCGAGGGUCGCUUCCAAUCGUCUUCGGACAAACUCAUGUCAUCUGACCUCAAAUCAGGUAGGACUACCCGCUGAACUUAA
rnacentral:misc_RNA from 3 species